UAAAAUGUAGGAUUGAUAGAGGUGGGCGGUUGAUUGUUGCACGGACUCAAGGGCCCGUUUCUCUGCUGUAUGACUAACUCUAACUGGUGUAUGACGAACUUUAACAGCUCUUAGCAGUUUUCUUCAUCACAUAUUUGAGGAGCUGCUGAACUCUUCUGUUAAUGUUGUCAAUUGGCAAAGCAUUAACCAUAAUCAAUCUCCUUCUUUGCAGCUCUGUGGGAACAGAAUAAUGUAUGGACAUGGAUUCUUCCAAUAUCUAACCCUGUUCUGGUUUGUUUUGCAGUGAUUUACAACAGCCAUCUGACGUGUCUAGUUUCAUCCAAAACCUGUGGAGAUAGACACGCGAAAGCAACAAAUGGCACGUGUAUUGAUGAUGAUGAAUGUAUGGGACCUUCUGCACAAACACUGUGUGGCAACAACACUGAUUGUCACAACACAGUGGGAAGCUACUACUGUACCUGUAAGGCAGGAUAUUUCCACCCGAGCAAACAACGUAACUUCACAGACAAAGGAGGCUGCGAAGAUGAGGAUGAAUGUAAUGGAACUUUUACACAAAUACCGUGUGACGCCAACACUGAU